rnacentral:rRNA from 1 species
AUAUUAUUAAGCGGAGGAAAAGAAACUAACAAGGAUUCCCCUAGUAACGGCGAGUGAAGCGGGAAGAGCUCAAAAUGAAAAUCGGAUGUCUAAACGGAUCUCCGAGUUGUAAUCUAAAGACGUGUGGUCUGCGUGUGACCCGGGUAUAACUCUUUUGAAACAAGGGAUCAGAGAGGGUGACAAUCCCGUCUUUGACCCGGAGUUCGCCGCGUACGAUACACGUUCGCAGAGUCGAGUAGCUUGGGAUGCUGCUCAAAAUGGGUGGUAAACCUCAUCUAAAGCUAAAUACCGGCCAGAGACCGAUAGCGCACAAGUA